AUUGGACGGAGCUUGCAGACGCAGUCAAGUUUCGGCUGCUUCGUCCUCCUUGUUCGGCACCGGAAAAUGACCCAACCCACCUAGGAGGCCCGCCCAGCCACCUAGCACCUGCCUAGCUGCCUAGCGCCCGCCUAGCCGCCUAGAGCCCGCCUAGCCGCCUAGCCGUCCUCCUAGCCCCAUUUUUUGAACACUGCGAUUGACUGAAAGUCUGCAACACGAAAUUGAAAAAGUUUACCUGCAAAUUUGAGCUUGAGAUUGAGAUUUGGAAGCCGAAGCAAGCACAAGUCAUGGGAACCCUAAAUACAAAAUUUGCUGACUUGGUGUCUGUCUUCGGUGGAAGGAAAUGAUGAAGCUAUCCUAACAUGGAGUUUCUAUGGUCUUGCCAAUAACAAGAUGGCUGGAACUUUUGGUUUUGGCAAUGACUGGCUGGGUGAAGGAGCUUUUGAGGAAUUAUUGUAACAAGAAUUUCAGAAAUUGAGGUCUCUUGUGGCUUUUGGAAGAUUAUUAUCUCUGCGUAUUAUGAGAUUCAAUAGAUUGUUCUUUAAAGAAAUAUCCAUUAUUGAAUAAAUUCUCUGUAGAUAUGCCAUCAUUAUGCAAAAUCUGAUUGAGACAUUAUAUCUCCACACAUAGAGAGUGCCGUCUGAUCCCUGUUGGAUUGAACCCAUACACAUUUGAUGCAUUUCUUUGAACAGCUCCUCAUUACCUUCGGCAAAAACUUUGAGAUCCUUCAUGAGGAUAUCUAAUGCCUUGGAGCGACAAUUGCUGUCAAGACUGAACAAAAACAUGCA